GGACGUGUCCCUCAAAUGUCAUUCCAGAGCCAGCUCAGCAGAAGACCAAGCAGAAGUAAUGUGGUCCACAACCAAACCCUUGAGGAGCCGUCCACUGGAUGCUGAAUCCCCUCUCCCACUCUGCUCACGCAUCCCGCUUACAGUUAGCAUGCGGUCAGCC